rnacentral:rRNA from 1 species
CCUACGGGUGGCUGCAGUGGGGAAUUUUGGACAAUGGGCGCAAGCCUGAUCCAGCUAUUCCGCGUGUGGGAUGAAGGCCCUCGGGUUGUAAACCACUUUUGUAGAGAACGAAAAGACACCUUUUAAUAAAGGGUGUUGCUGACGGUACUCUAAGAAUAAGCACCGGCUAACUACGUGCCAGCAGCCGCGGUAAUACGUAGGGUGCGAGCGUUAAUCGGAAUUACUGGGCGUAAAGGGUGCGCAGGCGGUUGAGUAAGACAGAUGUGAAUUCCCCGAGGUUAACUCGGGAAUGGCAUAUGUGACUGCUCGACUAGAGUGUGUCAGAGGGAGGUGGAAUUCCACGUGUAGCAGUGAAAGGCGUAGAUAUGUGGAAGAACAUCAGUGGCGAAGGCGACUAUCUGGCACAUAACUGACGCUGAGGAGCGAAAGCGUGGGUAGCAAACAGGAUUAGAUACCCUGGUAGUC